CUUGCAUCAUUGUAAAAAUGAUGCAGGAUCGACUAUGUCGAAUAAAAUUCUAGGUAGAAUUAUGAUAAUGACAUUGUCUGCCUAUGUGUCUUGACCAAAUUACGUGCCAGCAGUCGCGGUAAUACGUAGAAGACUAGUGUUAUUCAUGUUUAAUCGGUUUAAAGGGUACCUAGACGGUAAAUCAAGCCUAAAAUUAAAUGAAGGGACUAAUUUACUAGAGUUACUUAUGAGGGGGUAUUAAAGUACUGCUGGUGUAGAGAUGAAAUUCUGUCAUACCUCUUUUCAAUAGAAAAACAAUGGCACAGGUAUAGGCGAAAGCAUCCCCUUAUGUGAUAACUGACGUUGAGGGACGAAGGCUUUGUGUAGCGAACAGGAUUAGAUACCCCAGUAGUCAAAGCAGAAAAUGAUGAAUGUCAUAGAUUAGAUAAAUAAGUUUAUUCUAUAAAUGAAAGUGUAAGCAUUCCACCUCAAGAGUAAUUUGGCAACAUUGGAACUGAAAUCAUUAGACCGUUUCUGAAACCAGUAGUGAAGUAUGUUGUUUAAUUUGAUGAUCCGCAAAAAACCUUACCACAAUUUGAAUAUUUAUAUUUUUUUAUUGUUUUCUUUUUAAUUUUCUUCUGAUUUGAUUUUUCUAAAGAAAAAAAGAAAAAGAGGCGAUAUGAUAUAUUUACAAGCGUUGCACGGCUGUCUUCAGUUAAUGUCGCGAGACUUUGGUUAGUUCCAUUAAAUUAACGUAAACCCUUACUUUAUUUUUAUAUAGAG
rnacentral:rRNA from 1 species